CAGCCGCCGCGGUAAUACGAAGGGGGCUAGCGUUGUUCGGAUUUACUGGGCGUAAAGGGCGCGUAGGCGGGCGAAUAAGUCAGGGGUGAAAUCCCAAGGCUCAACCUUGGAACUGCCUUUGAUACUGUUUGUCUUGAGUUCGAGAGAGGUAAGUGGAACUGCGAGUGUAGAGGUGAAAUUCGUAGAUAUUCGCAAGAACACCAGUGGCGAAGGCGGCUUACUGGCUCGAAACUGACGCUGAGGCGCGAAAGCGUGGGGAGCAAACAGGAUUAGAUACCCCAGUAGUCCCUGUCUCUUAUAC
rnacentral:rRNA from 1 species